rnacentral:misc_RNA from 1 species
AAGUCGUAACAAGGUUUCCGUAGGUGAACCUGCGGAAGGAUCAUUAAUGAAUUAAAAUAAAAAGAGAGUUGUUGCUGGUCUCUUUCGGGAGGCAUUGUGCACGCUCUUCUUUUAUUCAUUCAUCUACACCUGUGCACUUAUUGUAGGCCAAGAAAUUGGCCUAUGUACUUUUCAUUACACCCCAUAAAGUUUAAUGAAUGUCAUAAAUAAAUGGGCAUGCCUUAAAAAAGCAGGUCCUUUAAUUAAAAAACUAUACAACUUUCAACAACGGAUCUCUUGGCUCUC